rnacentral:rRNA from 1 species
AGCGAACGCUGGCGGCAGGCCUAACACAUGCAAGUCGAACGAACUCUUCGGAGUUAGUGGCGGACGGGUGAGUAACACGUGGGAACGUGCCUUUUGGUUCGGAAUAACUCAGGGAAACUUGUGCUAAUACCGAAUGUGCCCUUCGGGGGAAAGAUUUAUCGCCAUUAGAGCGGCCCGCGUCUGAUUAGCUAGUUGGUGAGGUAACGGCUCACCAAGGCGCCGAUCAGUAGCUGGUCUGAGAGGAUGACCAGCGACACUGGGACUGAGACACGGCCCAGACUCCUACGGGAGGCAGCAGUGGGGAAUCUUGCGCAAUGGGGGAAAGCCUGACGCAGCCAUGCCGCGUGAAUGAUGAAGGUCUUAGGAUUGUAAAAUUCUUUCACCGGGGACGAUAAUGACGGUACCCGGAGAAGAAGCCCCGGCUAACUUCGUG